AUGAGUUCGCCACCAUGGUCGAGUACCCUCCACUUACCAAUCAAGCUUCUAGAUUCACCUCGUCCUCUUUACCUGCUUGCUGAUGGAGUGGGUAUUUGGUGUGUGUGUGUGUGUGUGUGUGUGUGUGUGUGUGUGUGCUGCCAGAGCGCUGACAUCGACGAGAGGGCCAUCAGGAGGGAGAAGCCGGAGGAGCUGGUCAAGGCCUUGGCCGAAGCCAAGGCCGACGCCAUUAAACUGAAUCUGGUCGACGGCUGUGCUGAUCGAGACAUCAGAGAUCCGCCUACCCUUCUGAUCACUUCGGACCAGGUUGUGGUGAGUAAAGGGGUGAUAAGGGAGAGGCCGAGGAGCAUGGAAGAAGCCAGGGAAUUCAUCAAGGCGUACUCGGGUGAUCGAGCAUUGGCAGUGAACUACGUUCUCCUGACCAACCUGAGCACCGGCGCUACAAAAGGGGGUUGGGAUAUACCCGAGAUCUGUUUCCACCACAUACCUGUCGAGUUCAUCGAGGAAGUCGUGAAGGAAGGAGACAUGACCUGCGUGGCCGGGGGGCUCAAGCUGACGCAUCCAUCGGUGCUGCCCUUCAUCAAGGAACUGGUCGGUACGGCGGACGGUGUCCGAGGGCUUCCGAGGGAGCUCACGGAGAAGCUCAUUAGAGAAUCGCUGGAAGUGAAUUCCUAG
rnacentral:rRNA from 1 species